rnacentral:tRNA from 1 species
GCCGGGCUAGCUCAGUCGGUAGAGCAUGAGACUCUUAAUCUCAGGGUUAUAACCCAGCA